rnacentral:lncRNA from 1 species
GGUGAGAGUGACCUUCCUGCUUCUGCUAUUUUUUCAAGUUCCGAGGUGCCAUAUUUUGGGGCAGAAUGUCCUGAAUCCCAACAACAUCCACAAGAAUUAUAUUUCAAAGGCAUUUACUAUGCAGAUAAAGUACAUAGGCAUUUAUUGAAGGCACAGUUGAUUCAAAUCUAUAGGGGAUUUACCCUUUGCUGAUUUUGUGCCUUUGACUUUGUAGCACUGACUUAAUCAGGAACUAUUUGAUACUUACAGAGGGACUUGGGAAAUCUCAGAGACUGCAUUUUUCUCAAGGGACAGAUUGCAAAAUAUUCAUUACAAACUUAAAUAUAGUCAGCGUCUGCUGGACUCUAAUAGAAGCCAUCACACAUGGCUAAUUUUCCUGCAGCACCAAGAAUUGAACCUCCUUGAUGAAGAAGCCACUCAAGUCAGAGCACCUAUACCAUGUGUGCAUGCAAAGGAAGAUGUUGAAGAGAGUUUGCACUACUUGGGAGCUUGCUGUCUAGUGGAAAAGCCAAGCCAAGCACAUAUAAACACAUUCUGAGUGCACAUUGGUAGCAUUCUUUUGCAACCCAGGAUGGCAGACUCAUCACUUUCCUGGACAAAAUCCUCAGACCUUCUGAUCUGCUAGCCUCCAAUCUCACCCUACUUGAACCCUUUCUCCAAACUACUGUCAGCAGCCCGAACAAAGACAAUAACUUCAAUUCCACCUGAAAGUAGUGUCAAUUCAUCUUAUCAGGUAAUGUCAUGUUAAUAGUAUUACUCUGGUUUUCUUUACACAAAUAGUUUUUCAUCCCUGGGAAAUUAAUAAUAAAAGGUAAACCAAACUUGUAGAUUUACAAUUUAUGUGCUAGGUUUAAGAAUAAGUGACCAGCCUGGCCAAUAUGGUUAAACCCUGUCU